AACGAACGCUGGCGGCAGGCCUAAUACAUGCAAGUCGAACGCCCUGGCAACAGGGAGUGGCGCACGGGUGCGUAACGCGUGGGAAUAUGCCCUUGACUGCGGGACAACGUCGGGAAACUGACGCUAAUACCGCAUAAUGUCUUCGGACCAAAGAUUUAUCGGUCAGGGAUUAGCCCGCGUCUGAUUAGCUAGUUGGUGAGGUAACGGCUCACCAAGGCGACGAUCAGUAGCUGGUCUGAGAGGAUGAUCAGCCACACUGGGACUGAGACACGGCCCAGACUCCUACGGGAGGCAGCAGUAAGGAAUAUUGGACAAUGGGGGAAACCCUGAUCCAGCCAUGCCGCGUGAGUGACGAAGGCCUUCGGGUUGUAAAGCUCUUUCAGAUGCGAAGAUAAUGACGGUAACAUCAGAAGAAGCCCCGGCUAAAUUCGUGCCAGCAGCCGCAGUAACAC
rnacentral:rRNA from 1 species